UUGACGGAAGGGCACCACCAGGAGUGUUAGAAUUAUUAUGCGACCUGGGACGUUAAGCCUGUAUUCGCAAUAGGGUCUAAGCUUCUAACUGCUUAUCAAUGGUUCUGGAUCGUUGCAGGAACGUUACCGUUAAUGGUUAUCGAUGGAUCCGGGAUGUUCUGUUGGCUACUAAAGAUAGUAGAUCUAAGCCAAUCUGACAAUAGUGAGGGAUAGACUUUAGAGGGGAUUGUUCGUAUCUGUAUCGUAUAUUCUUUCUUGAUCUUAUAGAGGUGUCUAUGCAAUGGAGUUCUUGUCCUUUCAAUCGGAGGAUACGUUCUUGUCUUUAUACCUUUCCGUUACUCCUCAUUCCGGCGUUAUCGACGACUCAUGACCAUUCCGGGCUUUUCGCCAAGCCUUGUUAAUUGGAGGGUUUUGCCAAGCUUUACCAACUGUGGGGUUUCGCCAAGCAUUGCCAAUUGAGGGGUUGCGCCAAGCUUUGUCAACUGAGGGGUUGCGCCAAGCUUUGUCAACUGAGGGGUUGCGCCAAGCUUUGUCAACUGCCUGCGGCUUAAGAUUCAACACGGGAAAUCUCACCAGGUCCAGACACAAUAAGGAUUGACCGAUUGAGAGCUCUUUCUUGAUUUUGUGGGUGGUGCAUGGCCGUUUUUAGUUGGUGGAGUGAUUUGCCUGCUUAAUUGCGAUAACGAACGAGACCUUAGCCUUUAAAUAGGGUCUUUAACUUUUGGUGAAGGAACUUCUUAAAGGGACUAUUGAUUAAAUAUCAAUUGAAGUUUGACACAAUAACAGGUCUGUGAUGCCCUUAGACGUUCUGGGCCGCACGUGCGCUACACUGACGGAGGCAACGAGUUGACCUUAGCCGAGAGGUUUGGGAAAUUUGUAAACUCCGUCGUGAUGGGGAGAAAGCAUUGAAAUAUUGCUUUUGAACGAGGAGUUCCUAGUAAGCGUGAGUCAUUAACUUGUGUUGAUUACGUCCCUGCCCUUUGUACACACCGCCCGUCGCUACUACCGAUGAACGGCUUAGUGAGAAUACUGGAGGACUUUAUUUCGAGGCCACUCUUUUUCGAGUCCGAAGAUAUUCAAACUUGGUCAUUUAGAGGAGGUAAACGUCGUAACAAGGUUUCCGUAGGUGAACCUGCGGAAG
rnacentral:rRNA from 1 species